rnacentral:rRNA from 1 species
UACGGAGGGUGCAAGCGUUAAUCGGAAUUACUGGGCGUAAAGCGCACGCAGGCGGUCUGUUAAGUGAGAUGUGAAAUCCCCGGGCUCAACCUGGGAAUUGCAUCUCAUACUGGCAAGCUUGAGUCUCGUAGGGGGGGGUAGAAUUCCACGUGUAGCGGUGAAAUGCGUAGAGGUGUGGAGGAAUACCGGUGGCGAAGGCGGCCCCUUGG